rnacentral:lncRNA from 1 species
GUUCUCUGCGCGGAGGUGUAAUACUGAGGAGGACGUACUUGGAGACAUUACAAUAGGAAAAACAAAACAUUUGCUUUGUCUUAUUUAAAACUCCCCCCACGCGCAUUGAGGUCCGUCAGAAACCCAGGUUGCAUUCUUUCAUUUUGGGGUGCUUCAAUCUUUGGUACACUUUACUUGGGAGUAAAUCCCAUUCAAUGCAGUGAGACUAGCCUUUGAGCAAAGGUAUAAUAAUAAUAAUAGUAAUAAUAAUAAUAAUAAUAAUAAUAAUAAUAAUAAUAAUUUAUUAUUUAUGCCCCGCCAAUCUGGCAGGGUUUCCAACAAAACACUAAAAUACAAUAACCUAUUAAACAUUAAUUUUGGAGGAGACUCUUGAGAGUCCCAUGGACUGCAAGAAGAUCAAACCUCUCCAUUCUUAAGGAAAUCAGCCCUGAGUGCUCACUGGAAGGACAGAUCCUGAAGCUGAGACUCCAAGACUUUGGCCACCUCAUGAGAAGAGAAGACUCCCUGGAAAAGACCCUGAUGUUGGGAAAGAUUGAGGGCACAAGGAGAAGGGGACGACAGAGGACGAGAUGGUGGUUGUGAUAUUACUCGGAGUAAAUCCCAUGCAAUGCAGUCUGAUCCAACCUGUGAGCAAGGCAGUAGUAAUGACUUAGGAUGCGCCUGGCGCGCAUCUGGUCCAUGGGGUUCCCGAAGCCAGUCUGGACAUCGACUAAACGACUAAACAACAACAACAUUAAACAUUAAAAGCUUCCCUAAACAGGGCUGUCUUCAGAUGUCUUCUAAAAGUCUGGUAGUUGUUUUUCUCUUUGACAUCUGGUGGGAGGGUGUUCCACAGGGUGGGUGCCACCACCGAGAAGGCUGGUUCCCUGUAACUUGGUAGAAUGAGCUGCACUCUUAAGAACAUACCGUAUUUUGGCAUCUCAUUCAAUAGGAUUGUUGAAUAAAUUAACUGAGAGGCCUUUUGACCAAUUGUAGUAAAUGGUAAAGGACCCGUGGAUGGUCAAGUCCAGUCAAAGGCGACUCGGGGGUUGCGACGCUCAUCUCGCUUUCAGGCGGAGGGAGCCAGUGUUUGUCCACAGUCAGUUUUCUGGGCCAUGUGGCCAGCAGGACUAAGCCGCUACUGGCGCACGGAGGACCAUGACGAGUGCCAGAGCGCAGGGAAAUGCCAUUUACCUUCCCGCCACAGUGGUACCUAUUUAUCUACUUGCACUGGUGUACUUUCAAACCGCUAAGUUGGCAGAAGCUGGGACAAAGCAACGGGAGCUUCACUCCGUCGCAGGGAUUCAAACCGCUGACCUUCUGAUCAGCAAACCCAAGAAGCUCAGUGGUUUGGACCACAGAGCCACCCGUGUCCCACUGCCAAUUGGAGAAUCAUGAAUUCAGCAUCAAUAAGUUUUGGCAGACUGACUCCAUUUCUUCAGGUCCGGUGUUGAUUUUAGUUCCCGCAGCUUUCCGGAAAGCACUCCCUGUAUUAGUUUGCACAAUCCAUCCAAGACGAGGAUAUGCAAAAAAGUUAUUUGACCCAGGUUGCAAUACCUGCUAAACUAUUCCUGAUGUAGGUGGAGCGGGAUCCUUUCUGGGUUCUGGAAUUUGGCCUCUGAACCUAGUGCCUUGUUUGGGGCUAAAGCUCCCAUCCUUUCUGAUCACCACCUAUGCUGGCUGAGGCUAACAGGAGUUAUGAUCUAAAAUAUUUAAAAAACACCAGGCUGGGGCAGACUGCUGUUAACAGACAUCCUUUAUUCUACAGCUAUCUUUGAACCACAGAUUCCAGAAGAAAGCCAGUUUGCUGGGUCAUAAAGGAGCUUAUAUGAACAAGGUUCCCCUUUGGAAACACUACUUUGAGGGCAUCUGUCAAAGAUGGCGUGAAAACCUAUUAAACAGAACUAAGUUCUACUAUGAUCUAAAGAUAUUGGGGACGUGUGAUUAGAAAUGCUUCACAGUAAUUUUUAUACUUCCACCAGUUGACCAGAGAGAUUUUGACAUACAACACAGUGACUAAACUUACUAAACGUUUGCAAAUUGUAUAACAACCUCCGCAUAGCAGGUCAACUGCUCAGAUGCUUACUUAAAUGUACAGUGUCAGGAAUUGUGAGAAAAAGCCUGAAGUACAACCAAAUGCAGAAAUUGUCUAUCUGUGCUGUAGUACUUUAAAUAGCAGACACUUGGACGCAUGUCCAUCCCACUGAAAGUGAUAUUCCAAGGAUGAGUAACUUCUGAUUUCUGUCUACCUGAUUUCCAUUGACUCAUCUCCAGAUCAGAGAUUGUCAGUGAAGCCGAUUACUUAAUGUUUUACAUCCUGUGAAAAGCCAAACCAACUCUGAAAAAUUAUUAGCUUCAACUGGAAUACCUGUAACAGUUUAUAGUGCAAGAGGGAAGCAAGCUGCUCUUACUGGACUUUUCCCUCCACACCACAAGGCCAUUCUUACCACCAACUGCUCUGUAGGAACGAUCCGG